GUAUUGAUCCUGAAAGAUUGCUUUGCAAAAGGUCUAGAAUAUGCAAAGACUGUAGCUUGCAUAACUCAAUUGGUUAGGACCUUCAAAUGAAUUUCCAUUGAGAACAAGAAUCUCCAAAGAUAUAAUGAGGUCCACGAUGAUGAAGGAGUUCAACGAGUCCAAGAUCAGUCCAAACGGAGUCCAGAUGGUGAAGUUACGUGUGAGAGAAGCUAGCAUGG
rnacentral:lncRNA from 1 species